UACGAAGGGGGCUAGCGUUGCUCGGAAUGACUGGGCGUAAAGGGCGCGUAGGCGGAUUGCUUUGUCGGGCGUGAAAUUCCAGGGCUUAACCUUGGGGCUGCGUUCGAGACGGGUGAUCUUGAGUUCGGAAGAGGGUCGUGGAAUUCCCAGUGUAGAGGUGAAAUUCGUAGAUAUUGGGAAGAACACCGGUGGCGAAGGCGGCGACCUGGUCCGAGACUGACGCUGAGGCGCGAAAGCGUGGGGAGCAAACAGG
rnacentral:rRNA from 1 species